CCUACGGGUGGCAGCAGUGAGGAAUAUUGGUCAAUGGGCGGGAGCCUGAACCAGCCAAGUCGCGUGAAGGAAGAAGGUACUUAGUAUUGUAAACUUCUUUUGUCGGGGAACAAAGGCGGAGACGCGUCUCCGGAUGAGUGUACCCGAAGAAAAAGCAUCGGCUAACUCCGUGCAAGCAGCCGCGGUAAUCCGGAGGAUGCGAGCGUUAUCCGGAUUUAUUGGGUUUAAAGGGUGCGCAGGCGGGAGCUCAAGUCCGCGGGAAAAUGUCGGGGCUCAACCCCGGCCGGCCGUUGAAACUGGGGAUCUAGAGUUGGAGAGAGGUAUGCGGAAUUCGUGGUGUAGCGGUGAAAUGCAUAGAUAUCACGAAGAACUCCGAUUGCGAAGGCAGCAUACCGGAUCCAGACUGACGCUGAGGCACGAAAGCGUGGGGAUCGAACAGGAUUAGAUACCCGGGUAGUC
rnacentral:rRNA from 1 species